CUCUCUCUCUCUCUCUCUCUCUCUCUCUCUCUCGACCUAAACAAGAUCUAGUUUUUUCUCCCCUCCUAAUUUUCGAUCUCUCUCCUCUCUAGUGUUUUCAAUCUUCUGCGUGACUUCUUUCAAUUGUGAUGUGGCCAGGGAGGCCACGAAGUUCUUGACUUGGAGGAAGCAGUUCAAGCACGGCCACGGCGACUUCAAACCUAAUGUCAACAAUGCUCUCAAGAUGUUCUUGAAGGCUGCCGAGCUUAGGUCCACGAAGGCGAUGGUCGAUGCCGGACUCAUAUUCUGGGAGAGAGGCGACAAGGUUAAGGCGUUUGGGUUGUACCGGGAAGCUGCCGAGGCCGGUGACCGGAAUGCGCAGGGCAAUUUGGGAAUGUGGUAUUUGCAAGAAUAAAUUUUUGGUGUGUUGAAGUGAAAUAGCUUUCGCUACGUACGUUUGAGAACAUGGAGUAUGGAGAAGAAUACAUGAAACCUGAUACAGAGACAUAAUUGGGUGAUCCAAGCAUAUUCCAGAGCUGAAUCUUAUGAUAGAGUGCAAGAUGUUGCUGAGUUACUUGGCAUGAUGGUUGAAGACCACAAGCGGUUGCAGCCUAAUGUGAAAACCUAUGCGAUUUUGAGCAGAAAGUAUCAAACACUGGUGAGCUCAAGGGUUGAACCUUUGCAAGAGGAAGCUGAACUUGGACAUGAGAUUGAUUACAUGGCCAGGUACAUUGCAGAGGGAGGGCUUACUGUUGAAAGCAAGCGAUGGGUGCCUCGAAGAGGGAAAACUCCACAGAAAUAUGUAGAUGUAGCUGAGUCAAAUUGUUAUUUUUUUUUAAUAUAUCCCCAAGUUUUGCCACUGAUGUUGGUGCCAUUGAGAACACACUGAUACAAUAACAGUGGGAGAGAAAAAGGUUAUGUUGCAUUGGGUUUUGGUAUGCCACUGUUGUUUUAACAGUGUGGAUUGUCCCAAUAGCACCUCUAAUAGAGGGGACUGAUAUCUCAUUAGUGGCUGCAUAGUGGCUAAUGGCAUUAGCCACUAUUAUCAGUGUGCUUUGUCCCAAUAGGGACUGAUUCAACUCAGUGUGAUUUGGGGAAAUUUGUAGUA